UCCAAACUCGGUGAGGCGUCUGCAAUGCAAACAGCGACAGGCCUAUUGCAGGAUACACGGUCCAGCUAGAGACUAGAGGCAGGCUUUUCCGUUUUCACUGGUUUGACUGUGAUGUCUUUAGGGUAAAAUGCACAUACCGCAAAAAACACAGGAAUGUGCACUCCAUGGCCACUUUAUUAGGUACACCUAUACAAUUCACUGCAAUCUAAUACAAAGGAUCUGCCAGUUAGGACACUGUCAGAACAUGUUUAACAUUGAGGCUGUAGUUAGUGUUGUUGUGCUGGACUGCAUUAUGCCACAAUCAGUAGCAUAUCACUGAAGAUGACAGCGCCAGAACAGUUUUGUCCUCUUUUAACAAUUUGAAAAAAUAUGCCUAGUAGCUGCUGUUUCAUUGUGGUUUGUAUGUUCUCAUGGAAAAAGUUAAUUUCAGUGAGACUUUUAAAAAAUGCUGUUUGCAGCAGGAUUGGAAAUUAAAGGUCCAGUGUGUAAGAUUUAGGGGGAUUAAUUGGCAGAAAUGGAAUACAAGUAUAAUUUCUUUGGUGUUUAAUCACCUGAGUAUAAGAAUUGUCGUGUUUUCGUUGAAGAGCCAAGUCGUAGAAUGAGCCGUUUAUAUCUACAUUUGGAGCAGGUCCUUGUCCACAGAGUCUGCCAUGUUGCAACACCAUGUUUCUACAGUAGCCCAGAACGGACAAACUGAGCACUGGCUCUAGAUAGGGCCAUUCACGUUUUUGUUUUCGACUUUUUGCGUUCGACACCAUAGUCAGCAGCCUCUCUGUGAUGGGCCAAACAGCACUGGAAAAACAAUUAUUUUCAUUGUAAAAUUGCUUUGUUUGGUGUUUGUACUGGUUUAAAUCACCGGGUCCAUUUGUUUGGGAAAGGAGGAGACUACUGCGGAGAAUUCGGCUCCUGGUAAAGCUCUCCUGAACAUCUGGUUCUUAAGUUAUCAGAGAUAAAAUGGUAGCAACACAUUAGCAGGUGCUGGGCUAGCUGCCCGUCUGCAAUGAACCAAACAGCAUAGGAGAAACACAAAAUUGUAACAUUAAACUGCUUUAUUCAGUGGUUUUAGCAGUUUUAAUCACUUGUUCUGUUUGUUUUGGAGAGGAAGAGACCUCUGCAGUUAAUUCGGCUCCCGGUAAAGAUCUCCUGAACGUCUGAGUCUUAAGUUAUCAGAGAUAAAAGGUUAGCACACAUAAGCUGGUGUUGGGCUAGCAGCCCAUCUGCAAUGAGCCGAACAGUGUAUAGGAGAAACACUGUAAUGUGAAACUGCUUCAUUCAGUGGUUUUACCAGUUUUAAUCACCUGGUCCAUUUGUUUCAGAAAGGAAGAGACCUCUGCGGAUAAUGUACCUCCAUUUAACGGGAGGAAAACAUCCCAUCUGGUUUAAUAUGACAAAAUCUGAAGUUUCCCUGCUACGCCAAAGUUCCUUCACAUCUCUAGCAGCUCAAAGCACAACAAUCUGCCAAAAAUCCGACAACACAAGCCCCAGAAUCACUUUCCUUUACUCAAUAAAGGGCCUAUAAUGUGCUGGGGGUUAGCGCUUUACAUGCCAGGUGGGGGAUCGAGGGCUGCGAGAAAUGCUGCGCUGUGAAGUUCUCUGACUUGUAGCCCUGUUUAGGAAAAAGCUCCUCUGCCAGCUGUAGUUGGUUUAACUGAGCCUCUGUGCUUUCCAGGGCUGAUUUUGAUCUUGCUGACUCUUGGCAGAUCCUAUGUACACUACAGAGCGCCUGACCGAGACAGUACUCGGAGCUAAGUGACAGAGCGCUCACCAUGGCAACGUGCUUUCCAGGCCACCUCCUCGGUCCCCACGGGAGCGUGACGAUGGGCCUUUUGUUUCUGCAGUCGCACCGUAGGGAUGAACCUACAUGCUGUUUUCCCGUCGAGCUUCCUUCCUUUUCAAUUAUGGACAAGUUCAUCUCCACCCUCCCGCAGAGCCUGAUCCCUCCCUACAAAUGGAAUCUAUUCAUCAUUAUCCAAGCAGACCUGGGCUUUCAAUGAGAUAUUUUGUUUUUGUCUCGAGGGUAAUAAAGUGAACGGCUCAAAUGACUACAGUCCUUCCUCAAGCCAAGGUCAAAGCUAAUGACUGGACACCUACAGUACAGGAACGGGCCUCUUCUCACACUGGAAUGCAGCAAACUUGAGCUUCCUCAGAGCUCAGGCAUCUGUUACUGGUGGUACAUGACAACUGGAGACCUGUUUAAAGCCUACCUAAACAUUAAUUACCCUGCCCUGUUGUUUUGUUGUGUUUUUGUUUUACCUCCAGAAGGAAAUUAUUAACAGACCUUCUCCUCCCUGGCUCUGUACUGAUCCCAUGACUCAACUUUCAGUCAUUUUCUCGAAGUGACCCAAUUUGCUUUUCUACUGCAGAUGUUGCCCUGCCCUACAGCCUUGAAUAUGAGCCCUUAAUUAUAACAAAAGAGUCAUGCAUUAGCAAUUUGACGUAUCAUUUUGUCCCAUCGUGUUUUCCUCAAACUUGAGUUGCAUUAGAAACUUCCUGGUGGUAAAUAUUAUGAAUGAGACACAAAUAAUGGCUCAAAAAAGCAAACAGAACAAACCAAACUCCAAAUGAUAUUUUCGUCACUUUGGCUAAGACCGUGCACUUUGGCAUAAAUCAAAUAAACAAACAAAGAAACAAAGCUUCUCACUUCACUUCUCACACUCUAAACUGUAAUUUUUUUGAGGAGUGCUGACUGGUGGGAGCGUUCACACCAACUGCUCUGUGUUAAAUGUGAGAAUAUUCAAGAAGCAAGGCACCAUAUGGUGUUAUUGUGUGGCAAACCUGCACAAAUUUUAAAUAAAAAAAAAUAAAAUUCAAAUGCAAGGUUAUUGGAGUGAACUAAAACUAAACUAACAGCUAAAAUAAGGUGUUAAGUUAACUGAAAUAAAAAUAAAAUAAAUUAAAAAAAUAUUUAUAAAAAUAAAUAAAAAAAAUAAAAUAAAAUACAUGAAAAUAAAAACUGGACUUAGAAAAAACAAAAAUUAACUUGAACAAGAUUGCAAAACUGACUAAAAUUAAAUAAAAAAUAUACAGGAAAUAUCACUAUCUUUUAGUGAGACUGGAUGUCUACAUGAAUUGGAGUUAAGUGCCUUCACAGAAUAUUGUAUUUGUAUUGUAAUACCUGUUCUGAGCUUCUGAAAUCUUGCCCCAGACAAUCAUAGACUUGCAACAUCCCCUCCAUGAGUUUCAGAUGCUUCCAUCAGGGCGGAGGUUUUGCCUCCCUAAAUGCAGCACUAAGCGCUACAGAUCGUUCUUUGUCCUGUCUGCUAUCGCUUAUCUUAACCUGCAGUGAUCCCUAAUUGUCCUUGAUUUACCCCUGAUAGAGUGGGAUACUGGAUUAUGUGUGUUAUGUACUGUACUGUCUGUUUUGUUGUACUCAUGACUACAGUCUGUAUCUCAAAUUGCCCCUCGAGGACAUUAAAGUUUUACCUCGCCUCACCUCACCUCACCUCACUCACCAUACCUUACCCCCUAUAUUAUUAAAAAGAAAACGCUCAUACUAAACAAACUCAUACUGAAACUGAAACAUCUUUAAAAAAAACAAACUAAAAUGAGCAAACCCACUCUAAAAAAUACCAAACUAUAAUAACUCUGGUUGGAACUCGUCAUGUACGGUGUUAAAUACAAGCUUUCCGCAGCCUUUUAUUAUUUAGUUACAAAUAGUAAUUGCAUAUCUAGAGUCAAAUGCAUGAAACGAAAGAUAAAAGACAGCUAAAAUGUUAUUUUCCAAUGACCCAGCCAAACCAGUAGCAGCACAUGUCUUUGCGCCACAUCUGAGCUCCUGUGACGUUAAUGUUUGGUGCUAUUUUUUGACCCUGCUAUCUCAUCAUUUGUUCUUUCCUGGCCGCAUAUCCUGAGGUCCAACAUUCAGGAAUCCCCUUCCUCUGUCCUUUGCACGCUGCUGACUAUCUAAUAAUCAUUUAACCCAUCCUGAUGUAGCUAAAUCUGUGUGGGAAACGUAUGUCUACAUCUCUUUAUCUCGUAUUAAAUCAAAACAAAAUAUAAUACCAGUUACAAGUGAUAAAGGUUAGCAUAACAAAGUCUUCCCAAAAAACUGUCAGUCAGCGAGGAGUUAUUUAUAUAAGGUCACAGCAGAAAAUGUGUUCAGACAGACGCCAGCACAAACACAUUAUGGUGUGGUGGCCUGAGAAGCGGUCAAACACUAUUUCUGACUGAGCAUUGUUUACUUUGGUUUGGACUGAGGAGCUGAGAGGAAGCAAAGCUCCAAACUAUCAUGUAGUGUGAUAUUUUCGUUAUCAACUUAGAGAUAACCACAAUGGCCCUUCCUUCCCACACAGUUUGUCCCUUUCCGCAGAGACAGCAUCCAGGUCAGAGCAUUCCUUCAGCAUCACCGCCAUUGUCUAAGAUAAGUAUGACAGAAUGACUGAGCUGGCUUCUGUACACAGAUGUCAGCUGGCCAAUUCAUCAGCUGCGCCCUAUUAGGGCCAGACCUCCAAAGCGAGAGUCCGUCGCAGAAUAGAUGCACUUUUCCCCAGAUACUUCAGCAGUAAUACUUGUUUCAUAAACCAUCCGACCACACUACUCCUCUUCCACAAUGAAGAAAUCAAAGUCAUAACCCUUCGGUGGAAUUUAUGCGGGGAGUCAAGCCACAUUUGAUUUAUACACAGAAGAUGAAAAGGUCAGAUUACACAAGGGAGCGAGUCGGUGUUAUUUCCUCAUUGUAAUGACACACGCCGAACCGCAGAGGGAAAGAAAUGUUUUUAAUACUUAGAAUUUCACCGUAGCCGCAACAAUUCCUGGCACAACGAAUGGUCUUUUUGUGGUUCGCCUAGGACAAAGCUUCACAGAAUGAAAAUAGCCAGAUUUGAAUGUAAUCACAUUUCAUUGUUUUCAUACUUAAGUCCACACACAGACUCUGGUGAGGGAGAUCACAGAGGCUGCCAUUAGAAUUUAUGGCAUCUUACAUAGUGUCUUUGCUCUUGAUUGUGUUCAUUAAAUGUCUCUGCUUUGAUUCUGUGGCUGCUACUGAAAAAAAGUCUAGACUUAAUGAUGCACAACAUCAAACAAGCCAAUCUGGGUAGUUUAGACACUAUUUUCAGCUCACAGAGCACAUUCUGAAACUCUCUGUGCUCCCCUUAAAUAAAUAUACUGAUUCAAAGCUCAGUCUUGGCUCAGUUAUUCUCUCGCUGAUGAAGAAAUUCUUUCAGUAGCUGAUGAAAGGUUAACAGUAACCUCCAAACAGCCAAAGAGUUUGAAACUGUAUGACAAAAGUAUCUGCUGGAUGUCUCUACCAGCUAUCUAUCACAUACCUGUAAUCAAGCCAGAAAACAGUCUCCAAGUACUAAAACAUAAUGGAACUUCAAGCUCCCCCCAAAACAGCAGAGGUGCAGGCGAUUACUUUCCACUCGGUAAACAGAAACACUGUCCAAACCGAGAUCUGUGUUCGCAGUGUCUGUGAAAGCAUUCACGAAGCUCCACAGGAUGAAGGUUCCUCUUGACAUGAAGAUCUUGGGUUUCAAGCUGUGCGGACCGUUAGUGCUGCUUCCUCCCUUGUCAGGGCCUGCCAGAGUAUCUGACUGAGAGGAAAACUGUUGCAUUUGGACACAAGACAGGCAUGUGGUUGCCAUCAGGACAGAGGCAUGGAGCACCAGGCCAGCAGUCCAAGCAAAGCACCCCAGAUGUCCCUCUCCCGAGCAACGCCUUCCAGCUCUUCCUGGAGGACCCCAAGGUGUUUCCAGGCCAGAUGGGAUAUGUAAUCCCUCCAGUGUGUUCUGGGUCUGCCCCUGGGCCUCCUAGCAGUGGGACGUGCCUGGAACACCUCUAACGGGAGGUGGCAUCCUGAUCAGAUGCCCGAACCACCUCAACUGACCCCUUUUGACGCGAAAGAGCAGCGGCCCUACUCCGAGCUCCCUCCGGAUGUCCGAGCUCCCUACCCUAUCUCUAAGGCUGAGCCCAGCCACCCCACGGAGGAAACCCAUUCUGGCCGCUUGUAUCCACGAUCUCAUUCUUUCUGUCACUAACCAGACCAAUGAAUCGAAAGCUUUGCCUUCUGGCUCAGCUCCCUCUUCACCACGACAGUCUGGCUCCAUUCUACCCUCACUCGUGAACAAGACACAGAGAUACUUGAAUUCCCUUGCUUGAGGUAAUAACCCUCUCCCAACCUGGAGGGGACAAUCUACUGGUUUCCGGCAAAGAACCAUGGCCUCAGAUUUGGAGGUGCUGACUCCUGCCUGCUUUUAACACACUAUUAGUGUUACUUUGAAUUAAUAAAGAGAACUUUAUUUAAAUCACAUGCAACCAUGAUGAACAAGAAUCCAAAAACAGCAAAUAUUGCUGAUAAACUGAAGUCAAUGGGGACCAUUAUGAACAACGGCAAAAACUGAAUCAAAACAUCUGUUUUCAAACUCUCAAACAACUCCUACAGUAUAAUCCAGGUCUCAUUUAUUCAGUCGCUUGCUUAGUGCUUCCCAAACAUGUUGCUUUACCUUGCCUUAAGCCCUUUCUGACUAAAAGUGAAAACUUUCAGUGCUUCCACUUCUAGUUUGCCACUUUUGGAUUCUUUAUCCACCAGAGGCAUGAAAGAAAAACAAAGUUUUCUUCACAAACUCAACGGUAACACGGCAUGACUAAUUGAUAUAUACAUGACCAUUUUGUGGGCAAAGUAUUCCCUUAAACAAAAUAAACGGCAACCACUUCUGUGCAUGCUCAAGCGCAUUUUUGUGUGUGUUUUAGUUUCUAUUGCCCCUCUUUAUAUGUGUGUGCAUGUGUGUAGCCCAGAUAGGACUGUAAGCUUAGGCAAACCCACUGGACUUAGCAUGUCAAACAUCUGCCCGAGCCUAAACAGGGGAGUGUCUGGACCAGUGAAGCUCCUAAAAGAGAGCAAUAAGCCCUGAGCUCUGUAAGGCAUCAGUGGUUGACGGGAGCUUUGCUAAACACAGUUCCUGAGACAAGUCAUUCAUCAAACUCCCUUUUUCGCUAUGACUCUAAAAUAGUAUCCUGGUUACUUAAUGUGAGUGAGAUUAGAGCUGCGGUGAGCAGAACAUAAGUUCUUGUCAUUUAUGUCCUUGUGAAGAUUCAUAACGUCACCAUUCAUAUUUGAACAAUACAUUUACGAACAGGGAAGUGCACUGAGUAAAUCUUUUGCUAUCUAUAAACUCUCUGAUGACCGUGGCACUGUAUAUUUACAAGGGUUUGAACAAGGCAUGAAUCAAGCCCAACUGCUGCAUGAUGGAAGCCAGUGCCAUGAGCAAAUACCUUUUGUUUUAAGACACAUGGUUCAAAAGAUCAGGAAUCCCCUUAAAUGAGCAGUGUUUUAAGGGGAUUUAGUGACCUCUAGUGGCGAGGAUUGCAUAUUGCAACCAGCUGAAACUUCUGGUUAGAAUUCCUUUAAUGUUCAUUGUUCAAGAGGUUUUUACUGAGAGCUGAAUUAAUCAUAGAGGUUUUUACUCUCCAAAACAAACAGACCCAGUGAUUUGAACCGUUAAAAACACAGAAUAAAGCACAUAAAAAAAUCAGUGUGGCUCUGAUGGUGGGGCUGCUUACUACUAUGGCCGACGUGAAAACACAAACCAAAUACUAAAGGCAGUGUUUGGUUUGUCCCCACUCCCUAUGUGAAUAUAAAAUGGUUUAUUCCAAGGUAACAGAAGCACAACAAUUCUUGUUUCAGGUGAUUAUAUACUAAAGAAAACAUAUUUAUUGUAUUAUAUGCCAUUUCCGCCAAUAUAUCCCCUUAAAUCCUACACACUGGAGCUUUAAAGAAAAGAACACGAGGAUGCCCUUUUAGUUUGCAGUUCAUCGCAGGAACUAAUCAAUCAAUCAAUCAAUCAAUCAAUCAAACUUUAUUUAUAUAGCGCCUUUCAUACAUCAAAAAUGCAACUCCAAAGCACUAAGUGAGAGAUAACAGUCAGCAGCACCAGUAGUAAACCUGCAGGGUCAAUUAGAUGUGUUUGAAUGGAUCCCUCUGUUGUAGGAAGAUGCUUCAAAGAGAUCAGCUGAUGAUAAGCUGAUCUGGCCGAAUGGCUGCAUGUUAUUGUCUGAGUUUGCACCACGAAAUCUAUUAUCACUGUAUUUUAACUUCUCAUGCUUUAAUUGCUCACAGUCUGUUUGUGAUGCGCAUUUGAUCGUUCUUGUAUGACCUGUCAUGACUGUCCUUUGUCUCCAGUAGAGGCCAAUCAGAGUCAGAGGUCAGUUAAGGUCAGUGUGAUGUGGUGAAAACUGAGCCGUUACAUUCUGCAAAAGCACAAAUUGCUGGGGUGUGUAAGUGAGCCUGGUUACAGUGUUGCAAAUAGCCCAGCUGAACUGUAAGUAAUGCUGUAGCUAGCCUUGAAGAGUUUCGGUGAAAGGGAGUAAACAAAUCAUUUUAAUUUAUGUAUGGCGAAGCUUUUCCAUCUACUCUGUUUGCACUAGCUUUCUGAACAAUGCUGCAACACAGAAUCUGACCUACCAGCGGUGAACUCUAGAUGCAGAAUUUUCUGCGUGUCUAAGUACAUAAGAGACACAUUAUACUGUAUAUAUAUAUAUAUAUAUAUGUACAUUAAAACCUAAAUUGCUGAACUGACACUUUAGUCUCAACUAACCUUGUUGUUAUUACUGUUCUGUGGUCAAUAACAAUCCAAGAUGAUUGAUUUUUUAAUAAAGUUUUCCUCUCGUUAAGCCAGACACUAAAUGAGAAACUGAAGAAUUAAAGGAGCCGCUGUAUGAGUGUGAGUAUGAGGACCUCCUGUGGAACUAACUUAUGAUAAGACAGCACUGCUACAGAAUAAAACUCAUUUGAAAGCCUUCAAAAGUCAUUGUCUGUGGUGCUGCUCCAGGACUUCUACAAUAUGGCAUCACUGUGUACCAAUUUUUUUUUUCAUUAUUCUUGUGAUAAGAGCACAUUCACCUCUUUUCUUGUGAGCAAUUGUGUUCAUUCCUUGUCACUGUGUAAAUCUGUCUACAUGGGGUUCUUUUCUCUUGACUUAUCUCCGCUUUGUGUAGGCUGAAACUUUCUGUAUCUCCCCUCUGCAAACAGAUUGGUACCCUGGGAGUUUAGACAAGCACAGUCUGACCUCUGACUCCUGGGUAAAUAGAGUAAGUUAACAACCAUCCUCAGGACAGAUAAGACAGGCCGACUGAUAAGUGAGUUCAGUGGAAGAAGGAAAGUUGGCUGGUAUGAAUAGUUCAGAGAGGUCACACAGGAGUCAGCUCUUUCCAGCCGCACUUGAAGGGGUUACUUAACCAAGCAUUCACACUCAUCCUAUGGAAGGUUAUCUGAUGAGCAGAGGAGGCAUAGCUAAAGUGCUGCCAGCCCACUCAGAGUGUGUAAAUUAAAGGAGACCCCUGAGAGCAACCCAGCCUUAUCCUGCCUCCACCCAUCACCUCGCGUUCUCCCUGAUAAGAGGUGUCAACCACAAACGUCCAGCGGAGAGAGAGAGAGAGAGAGAGAGAGAGAGAGAGAGAGAGAGAGAGAGAGAGAGAGAGCGCUAUGGGAGCUCGCGCAUAUGGCCAGCUGCUGUCCUGCAGUGUUCCUAUGAGCUCAUGCAAAAAGAGAGGGAACAGCUGAAAAAGAAACAGAGCCAUAUGCAACAUGUGUGCACUUUUCAUGCCUCUUUUUGAGAUCAUGUGACGUCUCCCACCUCAGUUCACUUUGAUUAUGUGACGUCUGCUCUUUUUGGCCGCACGAAAAAAUACAAAAAGCGACAGGAUGUUUGCUUUGAUUGUAGCAAGGUGACAACUAAUUCAUCACCACAAGGUUAGCCAAUAAUGUGCAGCUGCACAGGAAAGCCAUACCCAGGCUCUCCUGUCCUGUAUCAACUAUAAGUGCUGCAUCAGCUCCUAUUUGGCAGCAGUUCACUAAAAACAUGAUAAACACACACUGUUAGCAGGACUACAGUAUGAUGCACCGACUCUGCUUAGAUGUAUGCGGACUGGGUGGCAAAAACAUAGUGCUUUGCUGCAAUAAGACAGGACUUUUACUGUAAAAGAAAGUCAACAUCAUGCAUAAAACAGCUUUAUCAAUGUGUUAACGCUGCUGUGACCAAAACUCAUUCACUUCUCUGUCAUAUUUCACCACACAUGGUUAUUUAAUAAUAUAAACACUUACACAAGAAGCUCAGGUGGAGUAAAAACUUACUAGAGCGACUGUGAUGGAAACCAGAUAUCAAAGUUUAUAGCACAUUGAAGUUUUCCCAAACACAUGCACCUCUAAACAAGCCUGCCAAACUAAUGAUUUAGUUCACUUGAGAUGCAGAGCAUUAAAACUGCAGACACACAACAACAGAGAAAGUUCCUCUUUUGUAAAAGUACAGUGACAGAGAAGCAGCGGUUCACUGGGGUUUCUGUGGCACUGCACACACACUGAA